GAUGAACGCUGGCGGCGUGCCUAAUACAUGCAAGUCGAGCGAACAGACGAGGAGCUUGCUCCUCUGACGUUAGCGGCGGACGGGUGAGUAACACGUGGAUAACCUACCUAUAAGACUGGGAUAACUUCGGGAAACCGGAGCUAAUACCGGAUAAUAUAUUGAACCGCAUGGUUCAAUAGUGAAAGACGGUUUUGCUGUCACUUAUAGAUGGAUCCGCGCCGCAUUAGCUAGUUGGUAAGGUAACGGCUUACCAAGGCAACGAUGCGUAGCCGACCUGAGAGGGUGAUCGGCCACACUGGAGCGGAGACACGGUCCAGACUCCUACGGGAGGCAGCAGUAGGGAAUCUUCCGCAAUGGGCGAAAGCCUGACGGAGCAACGCCGCGUGAGUGAUGAAGGUCUUCGGAUCGUAAAACUCUGUUAUUAGGGAAGAACAAAUGUGUAAGUAACUAUGCACGUCUUGACGGUACCUAAUCAGAAAGCCACGGCUAACUACG
rnacentral:rRNA from 1 species